GGGGUCGUGGCGGAAUUGGUAGACGCAACGGACUUAAAAUCCGUUGGGAGUUAAUUCCCGUGUGGGUUCAAGUCCCACCGUCCCCACCA
rnacentral:tRNA from 4 species